ACACGUAUGCAAUCUGCCCCUAACCGGGGGAUAGCCCUUCGAAAGGAGGAUUAAUACCCCAUAACAUAACGAAAAGGCGUCUUUUUGUUAUUAAAACCCCGGUGGUUAGGGAUGAGCAUGCGUCCCAUUAGCUAGUUGGUGAGGUAACGGCUCACCAAGGCUACGAUGGGUAGCUGGUCUGAGAGGAUGAUCAGUCACACGGGACACUGAGACACGGGCCCGACUCCUACGGGAGGCAGCAGUAGGGAAUAUUGGGCAAUGGAGGCAACUCUGACCCAGCCAUCCCGCGUGCAGGACGAAGGCCCUCUGGGUCGUAAACUGCUUUUGUCCGGGAAGAAAAAGUUCCAUUUAUGGAAAACUGACGGUACCGGACGAAUAAGCACCGGCUAACUCCGUGCCAGCAGCCGCGGUAAUACGGAGGGUGCAAGCGUUAUCCGGAUUCACUGGGUUUAAAGGGUGCGUAGGCGGCUGUUUAAGUCAGUGGUGAAAGCUCGCAGCUUAACUGUGAAACUGCCAUUGAAACUGAACAGGUUGAGUACGAUUGAUG
rnacentral:rRNA from 1 species